rnacentral:lncRNA from 1 species
CUCUCUCUCACUCACUCUCUCUUACGUGCAAUACGUAUACGGCCGCCGCUCAACACUCUCCUCUCAGUCUCACUCUCCUUGCCGCUCCACUCUCCUCUCACUCUCUCAUUUUUACGGCCGCCGGCGCCGCUCCAUUUCUAUCUAAUCUCAGCCCUCAGGUCAGGUCGGAGGUCGCACAAGCUCACCAUCUUCAGAACUCACUUCUCAGCCCUCAGGUCGCAUCGCAGCCGCCAGCCAUCAGGUCUCAGCCUCUCGUCUCACUCUCAGCCCUAUCGUAUCGUUUCACUCUCAGCCCUCAGGUCGCACAAGCUCACCAUCUUCAGAAGCUCACUCACAUCUCACACUCACAGCUCAGAGGUUCGAUUGCUUCCUUUCUUCGUUUUAUUGGUUUUGUUAGUUUCUUUGUUUCUUCUUUUUUUGCAGUUUCUUCGAUCCUCAUCAUUUUCUUAAUUUCUAAUUCAGGCUCAGCAGCUAUUGUUUCUAAUUUAGGCUUAACAGCUCCAUUUCUAAUU